rnacentral:misc_RNA from 1 species
GAUGAAGAACGUAGCGAAAUGCGAUAAGUAGUGUGAAUUGCAGAAUUCAGUGAAUCAUCGAAUCUUUGAACGCACAUUGCGCCCUUUGGUAUUCCUUAGGGCAUGCCUGUUCGAGCGUCAUUUAAACCUUCAAGCUCAGCUUGGUGAUGGGUGUCUGUCCCGCCUUUGCGCGUGGACUCGCCUCAAAUGCAGUUGGCAGCUUAUCCCUCGGCUCUAAACGCAGCAGAUUUGCGUCGAGCGUCGUGUGGACGGGCUCUCCAGUAAGCAAACCCCCCAAAAUUGACCUCGGAUCAGGUAGGGAUACCCGCUGAACUUAAGCAUAUCAAUAAGCGGAGGA